ACCAAACUGUUGCCUCGGCGGGAUCUCUGCCCCGGGUGCGUCGCAGCCCCGGACCAAGGCGCCCGCCGGAGGACCAACCAAAACUCUUAUUGUAUACCCCCUCGCGGGUUUUUUUAUAA
rnacentral:rRNA from 1 species